rnacentral:rRNA from 1 species
GACGAACGCUGGCGGCGUGCUUAACACAUGCAAGUCGAACGGAAAGGCCCUGCUUUUGUGGGGUGCUCGAGUGGCGAACGGGUGAGUAACACGUGAGUAACCUGCCCUUGACUUUGGGAUAACUUCAGGAAACUGGGGCUAAUACCGGAUAGGAGCUCCUGCUGCAUGGUGGGGGUUGGAAAGUUUCGGCGGUUGGGGAUGGACUCGCGGCUUAUCAGCUUGUUGGUGGGGUAGUGGCUUACCAAGGCUUUGACGGGUAGCCGGCCUGAGAGGGUGACCGGCCACAUUGGGACUGAGAUACGGCCCACACUCCUACGGGAGGCAGCAGUGGGGAAUAUUGCACAAUGGGCGGAAGCCUGAUGCCGCAACGCCGCGUGCGGGAUGACGGCCUUCGGGUUGUAAACCGCUUUCGCCUGUGACGAAGCGUGAGUGACGGUAAUGGGUAAAGAAGCACCGGCUAACUACGUG